rnacentral:rRNA from 1 species
UACGGGGGGAGCAAGCGUUGUUCGGAAUUACUGGGCGUAAAGGGCGCGUAGGCGGCCUUCUAAGUCGAACGUGAAAUCCCCGGGCUCAACCCGGGAACUGCGUCCGAUACUGGGAGGCUUGAAUCCGGGAGAGGGAUGCAGAAUUCCAGGUGUAGCGGUGAAAUGCGUAGAUAUCUGGAGGAAUACCGGUGGCGAAGGCGGCAUCCUGGACCGACAUUGACGCUGAUGAGCGAAAGCUAGGGGAGCAAACAGGG